UUGCAGAUGGAACUGUUUUCUUCAGUUCUUGCAUUUGGGAAUUUUAAAGCGCCGUUUGGACCACUUUGACUUGCAAACAUUCCAGGUAUGUAACCAAACCAACGUGAGUGCGAUCCUCGACCAGUCACAGAAACUGCACCAGGGUCCUUUCUCAGGGUCAAGAUUUGGGUCAAUCACAUCUUUGCAAUUAAAAAAGUCAAAUACCAGAGUGACUUGUGAUCAUCAGCAAGAAACAAACAAUGUCUGUGCAUUAGAGAAACUUGUAAGCACCUGAUUAAAGAAGAUAUCAGGUCAACCACACCGGUGGGAUGAACCUCUUCCUCUGACACAACCUCACCUGUUAACUGGAGCUAUUCAGGAAGAAAGAGGCAAAUGCAAAUUGUGGGAUGCUCCUGAGAAGCAACUGGCCAGGCUGUUUCAGCAAUGCCAAUGUCUUACGAGGAAAAAAAAAAAAGAUGAGACAAAUUAAAAUUCAAGGAAAAGGAGAUUAAAGAAGGAUAAAGAGGCAUGAAGCUAAAUGCCAUUCAUGAUCCUUCGGGCCUCUACCAGGGCAGCUAGCUUGAGCAUCCUCACAACAUGGCAGCUGUCUUCUCCCAGAGCCAGUGAUUCAAGAGAGUGAAAGGCAGAAGCACUAGUAUCUUUUAUGACCUGGUCCUGGAAGUCACAUACUAUCAUUUCCACAUUAUCCUAUUGGUUACACAGGACAACGUAUGCGGAGGAUAUUAUUAUCCCUGCUUGAUGAUUGAGAAAAUGGGAGUCACAGAGAGGGCUAGCAACUUUCGCAAUGUCACACAGCUAGGGAGUAGUAGAGGU